rnacentral:rRNA from 1 species
CCUACGGGAGGCAGCAGUAGGGAAUCUUCGGCAAUGGGGGGAACCCUGACCGAGCAACGCCGCGUGAGUGAAGAAGGUUUUCGGAUCGUAAAGCUUUGCUGUAAGAGAAGAACGGGUGUGAGAGUGGAAAGUUCACACUGUGACGGUAUCUUACCAGAAAGGGACGGCUAACUACGUGCCAGCAGCCGCGGUAAUACGUAGGUCCCGAGCGUUAUCCGGAUUUAUUGGGCGUAAAGCGAGGGCAGGCGGUUUGGUAAUGCUGAAAUUAAAGGCUGGGGGUUAACAAUAAUAGGCUUUGGAGACUGUUUAACUUGAGUGCAGAAGGGGAGAGUGGAAUUCCAUGUGUAGCGGUGAAAUGCGUAGAUAUAUGGAGGAACACCGGUGGCGAAAGCGGCUCUCUGGUCUGUAACUGACGCUGAGGCUCGAAAGCGUGGGGAGCAAACAGGAUUAGAUACCCGUGUAGUC